rnacentral:lncRNA from 1 species
ACAUCACCACACUCCCUCUUCUUUGUUGUGGUCAUUACAUCACCACACUCCCUCUCUUCUUUGUUGUGGUCAUUACAUCACCACACUCCCUCUCUUCUUUUUUGUUGGUCAUAUACAUCACCACCUCCCUCUCUUCUUUGUUGUGGUCAUUACAUCCCCCACACUCCCUCUCUUCUUUGUGUGGGUCAUUACAUCACCACACUCCCUCUCUUCUUUGUUGUGGUCAUACAUCACCACACUCCCUCUCUUUUUUGUGGUCAUUACAUCACACACUCCCUCUCUCUUUGUUGUGGUCAUUACAUCACCACACUCCCUCUCUUCUUUGUUGUGUCAUUACACCACAAUCCCUCUCUUCUUUGUUGUGGUCAUUACAUCACCACACUCCCUCUCUU